rnacentral:rRNA from 1 species
GACGAACGCUGGCGGCGUGCUUAACACAUGCAAGUCGAGCGGUAAGGCCCUUUCGGGGGUACACGAGCGGCGAACGGGUGAGUAACACGUGGGUGACCUGCCCUCAGCUCUGGGAUAAGCCUGGGAAACCGGGUCUAAUACCGGAUAUGACUCCAUGACGCAUGUUGUGGGGUGGAAAGCCUUGUGCGGCUGAGGAUGGGCCCGCGGCCUAUCAGCUUGUUGGUGGGGUGANGGCCUACCAAGGCGACGACGGGUAGCCGGCCUGAGAGGGCGACCGGCCACACUGGGACUGAGACACGGCCCAGACUCCUACGGGAGGCAGCAGUGGGGAAUCUUGCGCAAUGGGCGAAAGCCUGACGCAGCGACGCCGCGUGAGGGAUGACGGCCUCGGUGUAACGUACUUCUACG